GAACGCUGGCGGCGUGCCUAAUACAUGCAAGUCGAACGAACUCUGGUAUUGAUUGGUGCUUGCAUCAUGAUUUACAUUUGAGUGAGUGGCGAACUGGUGAGUAACACGUGGGAAACCUGCCCAGAAGCGGGGGAUAACACCUGGAAACAGAUGCUAAUACCGCAUAACAACUUGGACCGCAUGGUCCGAGUUUGAAAGAUGGCUUCGGCUAUCACUUUUGGAUGGUCCCGCGGCGUAUUAGCUAGAUGGUGGGGUAACGGCUCACCAUGGCAAUGAUACGUAGCCGACCUGAGAGGGUAAUCGGCCACAUUGGGACUGAGACACGGCCCAAACUCCUACGGGAGGCAGCAGUAGGGAAUCUUCCACAAUGGACGAAAGUCUGAUGGAGCAACGCCGCGUGAGUGAAGAAGGGUUUCGGCUCGUAAAACUCUGUUGUUAAAGAAGAACAUAUCUGAGAGUAACUGUUCAGGUAUUGACGGUAUUUAACCAGAAAGCCACGGCUAACUACGUGCCAGCAGCCGCGGUAAUACGUAGGUGGCAAGCGUUGUCCGGAUUUAUUGGGCGUAAAGCGAGCGCAGGCGGUUUUUUAAGUCUGAUGUGAAAGCCUUCGGCUCAACCGAAGAAGUGCAUCGGAAACUGGGAAACUUGAGUGCAGAAGAGGACAGUGGAACUCCAUGUGUAGCGGUGAAAUGCGUAGAUAUAUGGAAGAACACCAGUGGCGAAGGCGGCUGUCUGGUCUGUAACUGACGCUGAGGCUCGAAAGUAUGGGUAGCAAACAGGAUUAGAUACCCUGGUAGUCCAUACCGUAAACGAUGAAUGCUAAGUGUUGGAGGGUUUCCGCCCUUCAGUGCUGCAGCUAACGCAUUAAGCAUUCCGCCUGGGGAGUACGGCCGCAAGGCUGAAACUCAAAGGAAUUGACGGGGGCCCGCACAAGCGGUGGAGCAUGUGGUUUAAUUCGAAGCUACGCGAAGAACCUUACCAGGUCUUGACAUACUAUGCAAAUCUAAGAGAUUAGACGUUCCCUUCGGGGACAUGGAUACAGGUGGUGCAUGGUUGUCGUCAGCUCGUGUCGUGAGAUGUUGGGUUAAGUCCCGCAACGAGCGCAACCCUUAUUAUCAGUUGCCAGCAUUAAGUUGGGCACUCUGGUGAGACUGCCGGUGACAAACCGGAGGAAGGUGGGGAUGACGUCAAAUCAUCAUGCCCCUUAUGACCUGGGCUACACACGUGCUACAAUGGAUGGUACAACGAGUUGCGAACUCGCGAGAGUAAGCUAAUCUCUUAAAGCCAUUCUCAGUUCGGAUUGUAGGCUGCAACUCGCCUACAUGAAGUCGGAAUCGCUAGUAAUCGCGGAUCAGCAUGCCGCGGUGAAUACGUUCCCGGGCCUUGUACACACCGCCCGUCACACCAUGAGAGUUUGUAACACCCAAAGUCGGUGGGGUAACCUUUUAGGAACCAGCCGCCUAAGGUGGGACAGAUGAUUAGGGUGAAGUCU
rnacentral:rRNA from 2 species